CCCCAAGAUUGCAACCUGAGCCAAAGGCAAGAGUCAGAUGCUCAACCACCUGAACCAUCCAGACAAUCUGAUUUGGAAGAAAUUGAUUUCUCAAAAUGGAUUUGGAAGAGCAAAGGGCCAAGAAUAACUGAGAAACAAUUUUGAAAAAGUAGAACGUGGAAGAACUUGCCCUACCAGAUAUCAAGAUUUAUUAUCAAAAUAUUUCGUAAUGAAGACAACAGAGUUUGGGCAAAAGGAUAAACCUUGGAACAGAAUGGAAAGCCUAGCCACGGGCCCACCCAUGUUUGGAAACAAUACCAAGCAGAGAUGAUAUUACAAUGCGUGGGGAGAAGGUAAUCUAUUUAAUAAAUGAAUCCUAGAAAUGAC